AACCAUUACAAAAAAAUUGAACUUUAACGUCUCUAAUUAGAUGACAAUUUUAUAAGAACCCAUCAUCUAAUGUGCUAGUCUAAAUCUCGAGCUAGUUGACAAAAUAUUAUACGAUAAUUUCUUAUAAAAUUGUCGUAUAAUAUUUUAUAUUACACAAAACCGUCAUCUAAUGUGAGCGCAGAAACUCAAAAAUGAAAUUUAAUCUCGAAUCUGUCAUCAUUUCGAGAGAAACCCUUUGCUCAUCUCUCUCUCUCUUCUUAUGAACCAUAUCGCCGCCACACAUCGCCCAAAAAUCACUCUCUGUCUCACUCGACGCCGCCACCGCCAUUCUCUCUCUCCGUCUAUCUCCACCAGUGUCGUCGUCGGCCGCCAUUGUCGUAGCUGACCCGCCACCAGCAGCCUCCGCCGUCGCCAAACUGCCAGCAGCUGCCACCGCCGCGCCAAACUGCCACCAGCAUCCUCUGUCUUCAUUUUGGAGAGUGUCCUAUGACGUUGGAGUUUCAUGUCCUUGAUGCUCACGUCCUACAUUCCAGGCUAAGCGCAGCUGGAUAAAGAGCAGCGGACAAACGCCAUUUGUACAUUUUUGUUACAAUCACAUGCCCGGCGCACUUUGCUCGUGCCAUACAAUGGAGGAGGACAUUGGAUGUUGGCCGUGAUAUCUUUCACAGAAGAUAAGGUCGUGUGGUUGGAUCUUCUCGUGACGAAAGUACGCGUAGACUUCAGAAGAAUGGUUGCCCUUGCAUUACGUGGUUGGAAGGCGCAAACAAGGCUUGAGUUUGAACGCUAUGUUGAUGGGUUCACAAAAUUUCUCAUACCAAAACCGAGCUCUUCUUCCUCCUUCCCUUCCGUUCUUCAGUCGAGAUCUUCUUCCCGGCCGAGCCCCGGCGUUCUUCUCGCACAAGAGUCACGCCGUUUGCUUUUCACCGGAGCACCUCCGUUCGCCUGAGCUCAUCCGGUCUCUUGUUGCCCAAUCUGCGCCGUUCUCUGUUUUCUCACCGAGAACUGAUAUACGAAGAGUUAAAGACUGGGAUUCAAACAUCCACUAUGGACAGAAAAACGUGGAUGAAAAUUGCUAUUGAAAUAGCAAUUAAGUUUGGUAAGCAUUUCACAGCAGACUAGCUUAAAGCAAAGUGGAAAGCACGAGGGAGUUUAAGGCAUUAAUUGAAACAACAGGAUUUGGUUGGAAUUCUGAGACUAACACUGUCACAGCUGAAAAAGAAGUGUGAGAUUCAUAUGUGGCGAUUUUUUUUGGGACUAUUGCUACUGGACAGGGGUCAAUGAAUGCACAUACUGCCGUCAAUGUUUUGAAUGCGGCGAAAAGGGCGGCCACAAUACCGGAAGAGGUGGAGGAGGGUACAGGAGACUCGGAUGAAGUCCGGAGUGCAGAAGACAAUAGAAACAGACGGUCUUAGGGUCCUACUACUUGAUCCAAGAAGAAGGGCAAGAACAUCAGUGCAGUUGACACGGCCAUAGAGGCUUUGGCAAAGAGUGCUACCCUACGUAGUGAGACAUCUGUUCAAAAGGUUGAUUUGUUUCAGCAAUUUUUAGCUGAUAGGCAAGCCCGUACUAUGGCAUUAGUUGAGGCUCAGAAAGAGGAUCUAACUACAACUAUUGAAGCCUGUAUGGAUUUGCUGAAUGGGUAUGAGCCGUAUUUAGAGGACAAUGCGUAUAAUAAGGCAGCGCACCAGUUGGCUCUUGACAUUUCCCUUAGGAGGAUGUUUGUGAAAAU